GAAGAGUGCAUACGUUUAAAUGAAAAUGAACUUUUAAGAAAGAAAAGGAAUUCUACUUCCGUGCUUAAAUGAAAAACAAUCCAAAAUGUAUGAAUCAACACUAUCUAAUAUUAAGCAAAGAUAAAAAAAAAUCACCGCUUCAAUUCAAAAGAAAGAAAAAAAUAACUUCUAACAUUUUGGCAGCAACGUGCUUCUUCAAUUUUUCAUCAUUCAACCCGUGUCUAGCCAUUUCUCCAUAUAAAAACAUAAGCGUUGCCUCCCAAAAUCUGCCGAGAAAAGUCUAUGGUGCCUCCAAAGAGAAUGACGGCUGUAGCUCCUCCUAGGAUCAUGUGUCCUAAAAUUGGAGUGGGGUCCACCCUAAAAAAAAUAAAACCCUAGGGUGCCAAGUGUCCUACAAUUUUGGGCCCUCAUAUUUUUGCCAGCAAUGGCCCAAAUGUGCACAAGUUUAAUUAAAAAUAUUCUAUACUACUAAGUUACAAUGUAAUUAAAUUUGAAAUGUCCAAGUGAAGAGUCUUGACUUUAUUUUGUCUCUUCNAAAUGUCCCAAAUUGUGUUUCCAAAAUUUUCCCUGCAAAUAAUAAUACAAAUAAUUAGCUCAGAAAAUUCAAAUUAAUUAAAAUUAGA
rnacentral:lncRNA from 1 species